rnacentral:rRNA from 1 species
GGGUUGUGAGGUUAAGCGACUAAGCGUACACGGUGGAUGCCCUGGCAGUCAGAGGCGAUGAAGGACGUGCUAAUCUGCGAUAAGCGCCGGUAAGGUGAUAUGAACCGUUAUAACCGGCGAUUUCCGAAUGGGGAAACCCAGUGUGACUCGUCACACUAUCAUUAACUGAAUCCAUAGGUUAAUGAGGCGAACCGGGGGAACUGAAACAUCUAAGUACCCCGAGGAAAAGAAAUCAACCGAGAUUCCCCCAGUAGCGGCGAGCGAACGGGGAGGAGCCCAGAGCCUGAAUCAGCAUGUGUGUUAGUGGAAGCGUCUGGAAAGGCGCGCGAUACAGGGUGACAGCCCCGUACACAAAAGCGCACAUGCUGUGAGCUCGAUGAGUAGGGCGGGACACGUGGUAUCCUGUCUGAAUAUGGGGGGACCAUCCUCCAAGGCUAAAUACUCCUGACUGACCGAUAGUGAACCAGUACCGUGAGGGAAAGGCGAAAAGAACCCCGGCGAGGGGAGUGAAAAAGAACCUGAAACCGUGUACGUACAAGCAGUGGGAGCCCCACCACUAAGCCAGUGGUGAAAUCCACAUACGCAUCCUUUGCUGAGGAUACGGUUAACGGAGCGCAAGCGACGUUCAACCUCAAAAGAAGCAGAGGGGGCUUAGUGGUGGGGUGACUGCGUACCUUUUGUAUAAUGGGUCAGCGACUUAUAUUCUGUAGCAAGGUUAACCGAAUAGGGGAGCCGGAGGGAAACCGAGUCUUAACCGGGCGUUAAGUUGCAGGGUAUAGACCCGAAACCCGGUGAUCUAGCCAUGGGCAGGUUGAAGGUUGGGUAACACUAACUGGAGGACCGAACCGACUAAUGUUGAAAAAUUAGCGGAUGACCUGUGGCUGGGGGUGAAAGGCCAAUCAAACCGGGAGAUAGCUGGUUCUCCCCGAAAGCUAUUUAGGUAGCGCCUCGUGAAUUCAUCUUCGGGGGUAGAGCACUGUUUCGGCUAGGGGGUCAUCCCGACUUACCAACCCGAUGCAAACUGC